CCAGCUGGUUCCAGAAGCGGGCGAUGCAGCAGGCCCUUGUGAUGCACGGCCACGCCAUGAUGCUUGGUGUAAAACCGGUCCUCUCUCUUUUGAGAGCACCCGGAGACGAGGUAUAGCAGAGAUAAAGUCCUUAAAGUCCCUCGAUUACCAGCUGCAAACGCCUUCGGCAGGACCUGCGGUGGCCGGUGACGAAUGGGAGCGAGGCGCGGCGACGUCCCAGAGUACAGGCCUAGGGCGUCUGGGCGCGCCCUCCCUGCGGCUACGGUGUCGCGGAGACCCCAGCCGAGCGAGGAGAUGCUUGGCAAGGAGGCUGAGGGCUUAAGCCAUGGCGCAGAGAGAGAGAGCUGGGCAGAAUCCGCAAACAGGCUCGUGUCUCCUUUCCGUCCGGUUCUAGUUGACCGCCUAGCAGGGCUCGGCAGCGGUCACCUCCAACCCAGACAGAGCAGAGAGCACAGUUGCCUCUACCCUAUUGAUACCCCUGGUGAUGCUGCAGCCGCUGCCGCCGCCGUCUCUGCUGCAGAGAGGCGGCCCCACCCUUUUUUGCGGCUCAGCAGGGGCGGGGGUGAUCAAGAAAA